rnacentral:lncRNA from 1 species
AGAGGGGUUGUGGCUUUGAGGACAAUUGUUCAAGUGAGAAGAGGGCUGUGCAGAUCUCAAGAUGACCUUGGGAUCCUGAUGGGAAAUUUUCCUGCUUCUGGAGGAGGGAAGCAGAGGGCUAUUUUUCCUCCUCUGGGCCAGGGAUGCAUGGAAUGGCAGGGGUGGGGGCUCCCAGCUAUGGAGACUGGGAGGGCAGGUCGGGGUCCCUGGAAGCAGAUCCUGAGACAAAGUUCCCUGUGCAAGAGAUUUUUUACAAAGGUGUGCCCAGCUCUUGGUGGCCCAGGGUGGGCCUUGGCCUUCAGCCUGCUGACCCAGGACCCUCACUGCUUCCAUAGUGGGAAUGAGUGCCUGUCUGAGCCCCAUCCUGACCCUGCUGGGAGCAUUCCAUUGUGUGAGGACAUCGGAGGAUGCAAGUCCCCAAGACCUCCCCGACACUGCUGGUGGAGUGC